rnacentral:misc_RNA from 1 species
GAUGAAGAACGCAGCGAAAUGCGAUAAGUAGUGUGAAUUGCAGAAUUCAGUGAAUCAUCGAAUCUUUGAACGCACAUUGCGCCCCUUGGUAUUCCAUGGGGCAUGCCUGUUCGAGCGUCAUUUGUACCUUCAAGCUCUGCUUGGUGUUGGGUGUUUGUCUCGCCUCUGCGUGUAGACUCGCCUCAAAACAAUUGGCAGCCGGCGUAUUGAUUUCGGAGCGCAGUACAUCUCGCGCUUUGCACUCAUAACGACGACGUCCAAAGGUACAUUUUUACACUCUUGACCUCGGAUCAGGUAGGGAUACCCGCUGAACUUAAGCAUAUCAAUAAGCGGAGGA